CAGACUGGAGACUCUCAGACUGAGGAGCUGCAGUUUGUCAGAGAUCAGCUGUUCUGCUCUGGCCUCAGCUCUGAAGUCCAACAUCCAUCUGAGAGAGCUAGACCUGAGAGGCAACAAGCUGAAGGGUUCAGAGAAGCUGCUGAGAGAUCUUCUGAAGAGUCCAGACUGCAGUCUGGAGACCCUCAGGAUCGGAAGAUGGGUUGAUGAGACGAUCAGAGCCAAGAUCCAGAAGACCUGUGACAGGAAGUGAAGACACACAGAAAGUUUAUUCAUCACGGGGCGAGUUUGAGACGUGAAGAGGAGCGUGGAGGCAUUUUGGAAAAUAAAGAAGAAGGCUGCAGCUGAUGAGAGACUUCCUGUUAGCUCUCCUCAAUAUCAAAUGAACAAAAACAAUCAAUUGUACUUAAAGCUUUUCUUCAGAAGAAAGAUGUGUUGCACAUACA